AGAGUUUGAUCCUGGCUCAGAUUGAACGCUGGCGGCAGGCCUAACACAUGCAAGUCGAACGGUAGCACAGAGAGCUUGCUCUUGGGUGACGAGUGGCGGACGGGUGAGUAAUGUCUGGGAAACUGCCUGAUGGAGGGGGAUAACUACUGGAAACGGUAGCUAAUACCGCAUAACGUCGCAAGACCAAAGAGGGGGACCUUCGGGCCUCUUGCCAUCGGAUGUGCCCAGAUGGGAUUAGCUAGUAGGUGGGGUAACGGCUCACCUAGGCGACGAUCCCUAGCUGGUCUGAGAGGAUGACCAGCCACACUGGAACUGAGACACGGUCCAGACUCCUACGGGAGGCAGCAGUGGGGAAUAUUGCACAAUGGGCGCAAGCCUGAUGCAGCCAUGCCGCGUGUAUGAAGAAUGCCUUCGGGUUGCAAAGUACUUUCAGCGAGGAGGAAGGUGUUGAGGUUAAUAACCUCAGCAAUUGACGUUACUCGCAGAAGAAGCACCGGCUAACUCCGUGCCAGCAGCCGCGGUAAUACGGAGGGUGCAAGCGUUAAUCGGAAUUACUGGGCGUAAAGCGCACGCAGGCGGUUUGUUAAGUCAGAUGUGAAAUCCCCGGGCUCAACCUGGGAACUGCAUUUGAAACUGGCAAGCUUGAGUCUCGUAGAGGGGGGUAGAAUUCCAGGUGUAGCGGUGAAAUGCGUAGAGAUCUGGAGGAAUACCGGUGGCGAAGGCGGCCCCCUGGACGAAGACUGACGCUCAGGUGCGAAAGCGUGGGGAGCAAACAGGAUUAGAUACCCUGGUAGUCCACGCUGUAAACGAUGUCGACUUGGAGGUUGUGCCCUUGAGGCGUGGCUUCCGGAGCUAACGCGUUAAGUCGACCGCCUGGGGAGUACGGCCGCAAGGUUAAAACUCAAAUGAAUUGACGGGGGCCCGCACAAGCGGUGGAGCAUGUGGUUUAAUUCGAUGCAACGCGAAGAACCUUACCUACUCUUGACAUCCAGAGAACUUAGCAGAGAUGCUUUGGUGCCUUCGGGAACUCUGAGACAGGUGCUGCAUGGCUGUCGUCAGCUCGUGUUGUGAAAUGUUGGGUUAAGUCCCGCAACGAGCGCAACCCUUAUCCUCUGUUGCCAGCGGUUCGGCCGGGAACUCAAAGGAGACUGCCAGUGAUAAACUGGAGGAAGGUGGGGAUGGCGUCAAGUCAUCAUGGCCCUUACGAGUAGGGCUACACACGUGCUACAAUGGCAUAUACAAAGAGAAGCGACCUCGCGAGAGCAAGCGGACCUCAUAAAGUAUGUCGUAGUCCGGAUUGGAGUCUGCAACUCGACUCCAUGAAGUCGGAAUCGCUAGUAAUCGUAGAUCAGAAUGCUACGGUGAAUACGUUCCCGGGCCUUGUACACACCGCCCGUCACACCAUGGGAGUGGGUUGCAAAAGAAGUAGGUAGCUUAACCUUCGGGAGGGCGCUUACCACUUUGUGAUUCAUGACUGGGGUGAAGUCGUAACAAGGUAACCGUA
rnacentral:rRNA from 1 species